GAGAGACAGACAGAGAGACAGACAGAGAGAAGCAGCCAAGGCUUUUAUUAGCCUGGAAUAAAAAGAACACAGUAACACACUCAGAAUCCAGGAAAAGCACCACACACACUCAGAGAUCCACCAAACACACACACACACACACACCCACACACACACACACACCCUCUUCUCUCUCCACAAAAAUAUCCACUCGUUUCUCUACACUCAGAACAGAAGUCGAAGGGCAGAUGUGAAAAUCCAUCACUGUGUAAAUAAAGUGCAGUAUUAAUACUCAGAUGAAGUACUAAAACCCGUUGGAAAUGAAGAGGGAUACUUCUAACACUCUGCAGUCGCAGUCUGCUCUAUGUACAGAAAAGGGGCGGGGUCAUCAGAUGGAGCUGCGGUUUAACGCUCUGUUAAAAAGACCGCCGCAACUCUACUCCGCUAGACUACGGACUAAUCUGAGGCAAACUGAGGUAAAGUUUGUUUUUUUUUUGGUUUACCAUGAACAACUUCUGAGAAAAAUCUUUUUCAUCUAAAUCUUCAUCUAGAUCAUCAGGUAAAUCCUUUUUUAUCUCAGUUUAUUAUUAAACCUUUUUCUGAGGCAAUCUGAGGUAAAUAUUUUUAUUCCAGGUUACUGGUUUAUACCUAACCUUUUCUGAGGUAAAACUUUCUCAUCUGAGGCAAAUCUUUCAUAUUUGCAUUUUGGACUAACCUUUUCUGAGGCAAAUCUUUGUAAUCUGAGGUAAUUUUUUAUUAUUAUUUUGGUUUAUCAUUAAACUUUUCUGAGUCAAUCUGAGGUAAAUCUUUCAUAUUUCUCAUGAUGUCUAACCUUUUCUGAGGCAAAACAUUCUCAUCUGAGGUAAAUAUUUCUUAUUUCAGUUUAUGGCUAACAUUUUCUGAGGCAAAUGUCUCUCAUCUGAGUUUUUUUUUUUUUUUUUUUUUUUUUAAAUAAUUCUGUUCAUGAUAGAUUUUGAUUUAUGAAUAACUUUUCUGAGGCAAAUCUCUAUCAUUUGAGGUAAAUCUUUCAUAUUUCAGUUUCUGACUAACUUUUUCUGAGGCAAAUCUAUGUCAUCUGAAAUAUCUUUGAUAUUUCACUUCAGGACUAAUCUUUCUGAGAUAAAUUUUCUCAUCUGAGGUAAAUCUUUCAUAUUUCAGUUUAAGAGUAACCUUUUCUGAGGCAAGUCUUUCUAAUUUGAGGUAAACUUUUCUUAUUUCAGUUUAUCAUUAAUCUUUUCUGAGGCAAAUCUUCUAUCACGUGAGGUAAAACAUUCAUAUUUGAGUCUUGGACUAACCUUUUCUGAGGCCUAUCUGAGGUAAAUUUUUCUUAUUUUGGUUUUUCAUUAACCUUUUCUGAGGCCUAUCUGAGGUAAAUUUUUCUUAUUUAGGUUUUUCAUUAACCUUUUCUGAGGCAAAUCUUUAUCAAGUGAGGUAAAAUAUUCACAUUUGAGUUUUGGACUAACCUUUUUAGAGGCCUAUCUGAGGUAAAUUAUCCUUUUUUGAGGCAAAUCUCUAUCAUUUGAGGUAAAUCUUUCAUAUUUCAGUUUCUGACUAACCUUUUCUGAGGCAAGUCUUUGUCAUCUGAGGUAAAUCUUUGAUAUUUCACUUCAGGACUAAGCUUU